GAUGAACGCUGGCGGCGUGCCUAAUACAUGCAAGUCGAGCGAACAGAUGAGAAGCUCGCUUCUCCGAUGUUAGCGGCGGACGGGUGAGUAACACGUGGGUAACCUACCUAUAAGACUGGGAUAACUCCGGGAAACCGGGGAUAAUACUGGCUAAUAUGUUGAACCGCAUGGCUCAAUAGUGAAGGACGGCUUCGGCUGACACCUAUAGAUGGACCCGCGCCGUAUUAGCUAGUUGGUAAGGUAACGGCUUACCAAGGCGACGAUACGUAGCCGACCUGAGAGGGUGAUCGGCCACACUGGAACUGAGACACGGUCCAGACUCCUACGGGAGGCAGCAGUAGGGAAUCUUCCGCAAUGGGCGAAAGCCUGACGGAGCAACGCCGCGUGAGUGAUGAAGGUCUUCGGAUCGUAAAACUCUGUUGUUAGAGAAGAACAAAUUUGUUAGUAACUGAACAAGUCUUGACGGUACCUAACCAGAAAGCCACGGCUAACUACGUGCCAGCCGCCGCGGUAA
rnacentral:rRNA from 1 species